rnacentral:rRNA from 1 species
UACAGAGGUCUCAAGCGUUGUUCGGAUUCAUUGGGCGUAAAGGGUGCGUAGGUGGCGGGGUAAGUCAGGUGUGAAAUCUCGGGGCUCAACCCCGAAACUGCACUUGAUACUGCCUUGCUCGAGUACUGGAGAGGAGACUGGAAUUUACGGUGUAGCAGUGAAAUGCGUAGAGAUCGUAAGGAAGACCAGUGGCGAAGGCGGGUCUCUGGACAGUUCCUGACACUGAGGCACGAAGGCCAGGGGAGCAAACGGG